UAAGGAAUAUUGGUCAAUGGACGAAAGUCUGAACCAGCCAUGCCGCGUGGAGGAUGAAGGUCCUCUGGAUUGUAAACUUCUUUUAUCUGGGACGAAAAAAGGUCUUUCUAGAUCGUCUGACGGUACCAGAUGAAUAAGCACCGGCUAACUCCGUGCCAGCAGCCGCGGUAAUACGGAGGGUGCAAGCGUUAUCCGGAUUCACUGGGUUUAAAGGGUGCGUAGGUGGGUUGGUAAGUCAGUGGUGAAAUCUUCGAGCUUAACUCGGAAACUGCCAUUGAUACUAUCAGUCUUGAAUAUUGUGGAGGUUAGCGGAAUAUGUCAUGUAGCGGUGAAAUGCUUAGAUAUGACAUAGAACACCAAUUGCGAAGGCAGCUGGCUACACAUAUAUUGACACUGAGGCACGAAAGCGUGGGGAUCAAACAGGAUUAGAUACCCUGGUAGUCCACGCCCUAAACUAUGGAUACUCGACAUACGCGAUACACUGUGUGUGUCUGAGCGAAAGCAUUAAGUAUCCCCACCUGGGGAAGUACGAUCGCAAGAUUGAAACUCAAAUAAAUGACGGGGUC
rnacentral:rRNA from 1 species